UAAACUAGGAAUUGAUACCCUAUUAUUUUAGAGCUUGACAUUGUUAGUAAAUAAAUAUUACGAAAGCAAAAAAUUAUGGCGGUAUUUUAAGCUUUUCAGAGGAAUUUGCUCUUUAAUGGAUAAAACACCUAAAUCUUACUUAAAUUUGUCAAUUCAAUUUGUAUACCACUAUUGAAAUAAUUAAUAACUUUAAUUGUUUAAAUUUAUAAAAUUAAAUUAUGUUAAGUCAAGGUGCAGUAAAAAUUUAAGAAUGAAGUGAAUUACAUUUCUUUUUAGAGAAAAAAAAAUUAAAUUAACAUUUAGGAUUUGAAAGUAAAAUUAAAAUAGUAUGUUAAUUUGAAUUAAGCUCUAAAAUAUGUACAUAUCGCCCGUCACUCUUUAUUAAGAUAAUCCGUUACAUAGA
rnacentral:rRNA from 1 species